UGGGGAAUAUUGGACAAUGGGGGCAACCCUGAUCCAGCAAUGCCGCGUGUGUGAAGAAGGUCUUCGGAUUGUAAAGCACUUUCGACGGGGACGAUGAUGACGGUACCCGUAGAAGAAGCCCCGGCUAACUUCGUGCCAGCAGCCGCGGUAAUACGAAGGGGGCUAGCGUUGCUCGGAAUGACUGGGCGUAAAGGGCGUGUAGGCGGUUUACACAGUCAGAUGUGAAAUCCCCGGGCUUAACCUGGGAGCUGCAUUUGAUACGUGUAGACUAGAGUGUGAGAGAGGGUUGUGGAAUUCCCAGUGUAGAGGUGAAAUUCGUAGAUAUUGGGAAGAACACCGGUGGCGAAGGCGGCAACCUGGCUCAUGACUGACGCUGAGGCGCGAAAGCGUGGGGAGCAAAUAGGAUUAGAUACCUGG
rnacentral:rRNA from 1 species